UACGUAGGGUGCAAGCGUUUGUCCGGAAUUAUUGGGCGUAAAGAGCUCGUAGGCGGUUCGUCGCGUCGGCUGUGAAAACCUGAGGCUCAACCUCAGGCCUGCAGUCGAUACGGGCGGACUUGAGUACUGCAGGGGAGACUGGAAUUCCUGGUGUAGCGGUGAAAUGCGCAGAUAUCAGGAGGAACACCGGUGGCGAAGGCGGGUCUCUGGGCAGUAACUGACGCUGAGGAGCGAAAGCGUGGGGAGCGAACAGG
rnacentral:rRNA from 1 species